UAACCUGCCCAAGAGAUCGGGAUAACACCUGGAAACAGAUGCUAAUACCGGAUAACAACAGAUGAUGCCUAUCAACUGUUUAAAAGAUGGUUCUGCUAUCACUCUUGGAUGGACCUGCGGUGCAUUAGCUAGUUGGUAGGGUAACGGCCUACCAAGGCGAUGAUGCAUAGCCGAGUUGAGANACUGAUCGGCCACAUUGGGACUGAGACACGGCCCAAACUCCUACGGGAGGCAGCAGCG
rnacentral:rRNA from 1 species